AGCUUUUCCUCAAAGCUCUGUGAGGUCCUCUUCUGUCAGAUGUCUAUGAAUAAGGCACCCUGGGAAAAUCCUGAUGUCCUUGCCGGCUUGCUUUAUCUUUUACACGGUGGUUGAAUCUACUUUCAAGUCCUGGUAACAGCACAUCGACUGUGCUGUAUUUCUGUGUGGUUUUUCUAAAUAAAAGGAGGGCAGCGCUUGUCUUCACCCUGGCUUCUGAUAUGCACAAUAUAUUCUAUUAAUGGGUAUUGAAUUCACUGGAAUUGAUCCGUCUUUUUCAGUUGAUUGUCAUUUUAUGCAGAGUCGGCAAUCGCAAAGACGGAAGAAUGUAGAAAGUUCAUGAAUUAGUGUUCUUUUAGAGAACUGGCACCUUGCUUUUU
rnacentral:lncRNA from 1 species